GACAGAGGAUGCAAGCGUUAUCCGGAUUCACUGGGUUUAAAGGGUGUGUAGGCGGGCUGUUAAGUCAGUGGUGAAAUCUCCGGGCUCAACCCGGAAACUGCCAUUGAUACUAUCAGUCUUGAAUCUUGUUGAGGUGGGCGGAAUAUGUCAUGUAGCGGUGAAAUGCUUAGAUAUGACAUAGAACACCGAUUGCGAAGGCAGCUCACUAAGCAAGUAUUGACGCUGAGGCACGAAAGCGUGGGGAUCAAACAGG
rnacentral:rRNA from 1 species